UACGGGAGGCAGCAGGGGGAAUAUUGCACAAUGGGCGCAAGCCUGAUGCAGCCAUGCCGCGUGUAUGAAGAAGGCCUUCGGGUUGUAAAGUACUUUCAGUCGUGAGGAAGGUGUUAAGGUUAAUAACCUUAGCAAUUGACGUUAGCGACAGAAGAAGCACCGGCUAACUCCGUGCCAGCAGCCGCGGUAAUACGGAGGGUGCGAGCGUUAAUCGGAAUUACUGGGCGUAAAGGGCACGCAGGCGGUUAAUUAAGUUGGAUGUGAAAUCCCCGGGCUUAACCUGGGAAUGGCAUUCAAGACUGGUUAGCUAGAGUCUUGUAGAGGGGGUAGAAUUCCAUGUGUAGCGGUGAAAUGCGUAGAGAUGUGGAGGAAUACCGGUGGGCGAAGGCGGCCCCUGGGACAAAGGACUGACGCUCAUGUGCGAAAGCGUGGGGAGCGAAACAGGGAUUAGAUACC
rnacentral:rRNA from 1 species